GUCGGAACGGAUACGGUGCGAGCCUCCCAUAAAAAACGCCUCACUGACAUCGAAGGAAAAGGGGUGUAAAAUAAAACAAGACAUCAUUUUGCUUAACAAUAUCUUGCGCACGGGUGCAAGACUAGUUCACGGCAUUGCCAUGGAAGGAGACAAUCAGAGGAAGCUGCUUGAGGACGUGUUUGGAGGAUCAUCAUCAGAUACUGACAUUGAAGAAUUCAUGGAAUCCUCUUCUUCAUCUCACCAUUUCCCUUCAACUGAUAACAAACGCGGUCUUAUUAAUCUCUCACAUUCAACAACGAACCCUAACCCUAGCUGGAAACACAUUGCAGAUAUCAAAGGGUUGUGGUUAUGCAGGGACUUCCUCUCUCUUCAACAGCAAUCUUCUCUUCUUUCUUCCGUUCAAACAGAUAAAGCCAUGAGUCAGCUGACCAAUCAGGAGAAAGGAGAUGUUGAUGCCGAUACUUGGUUAAACGAGCUGUAUCAACAAAGAGUGAAGUUACACCAAAUUCAAGAUGAGACAAAAGCCUCCUCUAAGGCGGUCAAGCCUUCGUUCGUAAGUCGAUCCGCUUUGGCAUCAAAAAGGAAGAAGGAAGACGAGGCUAAGGCUCCUUCGAAGAAACCAAAGCUCAAAAUCACCAAGAAGGUGAAGAAAGAGAAAGAGACAGUUGAGAAGUUCCAUGAUAAGUUCCAUGAUGGGCCUGCAAAAGAGCUCACAUUAGCCGUGGCUGGGAGUAAGGGAGCUAUAAAUGUUCUCUCUGCGUUUGACGAGGACAAAGUCACUCCUGCUGGCAAAGAGAGGGAGAUAGAAGUUUCCACUAACGGAGGGGGUACAAGUGAGACUCCAGCCAAGCAAUUGGUAAAAGGUACACCCGGUUGUACGUAGUUCUACAUGCAACCGGGUAGUUUUGGUUUUUAACCCCUCAAAAAGCACGAUUUUAUAGUUUAAAGCACAUUUUUACAGGUUAAAGUAUAUUUUUAUAGCUUAAAAGCAGAUACAUUUCAAAAGAACACAUUGUUAGUACAAAAGAACAUACGAGCGCGAAGAAUUUGAGAGGAUAUGUAAACUGAUAUUGGUUGCUCACCUUUUAAGUUUAGGUUUUUUCCCAAUUGGAAGAAGAUAUUCAAUAUCAUAAUAUUUGAAAACAUAUGUGCAUUAAAAUUGUAAAAAUGUGCUUUUAAACUGAAAAUGUGCUUUUAAACUAAAAAAUGUGCUUUUUUUUGAGGGAUUAAAAAAUACAAAACGAUCCGGUUGCACGUAGAGCUACGUACAACCGGGUGUACCUAAUAAUUUGUGUCAGCCAAGCCAUUGGGUGACUUACCCGAGGUAGUGGGUGACAAAGUUCCGAGCUUUGUUUUUGACCGCGUUCGGCAGACAGGUGAAGCAAGUUUGGAACAAAAGUGGGAUGACGAGGAGGUGGGUGAGUUUCCUUCAACAAAACGCUUUGACAACAAAUCCCAGGCCAAAAUUGUUGAGGGAAUAAUGAAUGUUGUGCCGAAGGAGUACAGAGAAUUCGUCCAAGGGCCCGACGACGCCCAGUUGGGAGCUAUCCAGGCGACCUUGGUUGAUCUACUCAUCAAGAUGGAUGGAGCAAAGAAAUGGCACCGAGAAGUUCAGAGAGACCUUAAAAAGCAGGUGACGAAAGCCGCUUUUGUUCAGAUCGAGGAGGUGCGCAUUGAAAAAGAUGCUACCAUUGCCGCACAGGCUAGAGACUUAGCCGCCUAUGAAGUCAGAGAGGAAGGUCAACCUUCAGAAGAUUAACGAGCAGAUCCUGGCCAUAGACACCAUAACUGGUGAACUUGACAAGGCUUUAGCUGCGAAGGCCGAGCUCAAGGCCAAGCUGGAGGCUCAAUCAUCCAUGGAAGCUCGAGUUGUCGAGCUGGAAAAGGACUUGGCGGCCGCUAGGGCUGAUGUUGCUUUUCUUUCUGCAGAUGCUAAAUCAGCUUAUAUCAAAGGAGAGGAGGACACCAAGAAGGCUACCCACAUGGCAUGGGACUUUGUUACAGGAUACUUGAUCCUGUUGCCAGCUUUGUGACAGAAUACAGAAUUAAGAAGAAGAAGAAGAUAGAUUGCACCAGAAGAAAGAAGAAGAAGAUUCAGAAAUAGGAGAAGAGAAGAAGAGAAUUAAGGAAGGAGAAUUUAGAGAGAGAAGUUGUAAUAUAUUUCAUGAUUCAAUCGUAACUUACAUCAUUUGUCUAUAUACUACAAUUCUUGUUAGUUAGCUUGAAAAACAAGUAACUCAAGCAUAACAGAAUUCAGUUAGAAUUCAGUUGCAAACAAUAACAGAAAGUCAAUGCUAAAUCACAAAGUCAACAUAUUGACUUCUAAACCUUGACUUUGUAUAUAAUUCCCUGAACAUUCCAUCCCCCUUAAGCAACUUGUCCUCAAGUUUGCACAAUAGUAAAGUGAGGAAAUUUGGACUGAAAAGUGUCCCCAAGUAGCAUCAUGUGGAAGAGUAUCUUCCCAUUGAACCAACAACUGGACCUUAGUUUGAUUUUGAGACUGCACAGAUCGUUGAUCCAAAAUCACUGCAGGAACUGGAUCCAAAGAAGAAUCUUUGCCCUGUAGCCAAGCAGGUAUGUGUGUGGCAAUUGGCAAAGACCCAUGAAACACCUUCAAUUGAGAAACAUGAAACACAUUGUGAAUUUUAGCUGAUUCUGGUAAUUGAAGCUUGUAAGCUACCUUGCCAACACAAUCAAUCACUUGGAAAGGUCCAUAAUAUUUUGGAGACAGCUUCUGAUUCCCCCUAUUCUGCACUGUGAAUUGUCUAUAGGGUUGCAGCCUUAACCAGACCCAAUCUCCCACUGAAAAAGACCUAUCAGAUCUCUUUUUAUCAGCUUGGUGUUUCAUUCUGUUUUGAGCCCUCAGGAGAUGAAAUUUUACCAAAUCAAUCAUUUGCUCCCUUCUUUGAAAGCUUCUAUCCACUUCAUCCACAACAGAUUCUCCUGGAAGAUAAGGAAGGUGCAAUGGUGGAGGUUGGCCAUAAACCACCUCAUAAGGAGUAAGUUGAAUACUGGAGUGAAAGUGAGUGUUGAACCACCACUCAGCUACUGGUAACCAAGCAGACCAAUCUUUAGGUUGGUCACUACACAUGCACCUUAAGUAUGUUUCUAAGCAUCUGUUAACUACUUCAGUUUGUCCAUCAGUCUCAGGGUGAUAAGAGGAAGACAACAUGAAUUCAGUACCAUGAAGACUGAACAAACCCUUCCAAAACUGGCUCAAAAAUAUAGCAUCUCUAUCACUGACAAUGCUCCUUGGCCACCCAUGAAGUUUAAAGACAUUAUCAAGGUAUGAUUGAGCUACUUGAAUAGCAGUAUAAGGAUGGGACAAAGCCAUAAAGUGACUGUAUUUGCUCAAUCUGUCCACUACAACAAAAAUGACAUCUUUUCCCCCUGAUUUAGGCAAACCAGUAAUGAAGUCCAUUGAAACAUCAAACCAUACAGCUUCAGGAAUUGGCAAUGGUUGUAAUAAACCAGGACUAGCUGCAGUAUCAUAUUUGGAAGAUUGACAUGUCUUACAUUGCUUCACAAAGAGCCUCACAUCUGUUGCCAAACCCUUCCAGUAAAAGAGACUUUGCACCCUUUUAAUAGUUAAAUCCCUUCCCGAGUGACCACUUUCAGGAGAAGAAUGCAACCAAUUUAUCACCUUAUUCUUUAAAACCAAAUCAGACCCUAAAACCAGUUUUCCUCUCCUCCUAGCCAAACCAUCUUGUAAGGAGUAAUUGUCAACAGAUUCACCAUUCUGCAGCUUAGUAACAAUGGCCAACAAGGAGUUAUCCAACAUAUAACUGGCUUUGAUUAAAGCAGUAAGAUCAGAGUUGACAACAGAAAUAGCCAUACACAAAAUAGUGGCUCUAGGCACUCUAGAAAGGGCAUCAGCAACUACAUUUUCUUUUCCAGACUUAUACUGAAUGUCAUAGUCAAAUCCCAUGAGUUUAGAAAGCCAAAAUUGUUGAAAUGGUGUGGAUACCUUCUGUUGAAGAAGCCACUUCAAGCUUUUCUGAUCAGUUCUAAUAGUGAAAUGUGAACUCCUCAAGUAUUGUUCCCAUUUCUGAACAGCAAACACAAUGGCAAGCAAUUCUUUCUCAUACAUAGAUAAUUUCUGCCACUUUGGUCCUAAAGCUCUACUGAUGAAUGCCAAAGGGUGAUUAUCCUGCAUCAAAACUGCACCAAUACCUGUAUUUGAGGCAUCUGUCUCCACCACAAAUGUUUUAGAGAAGUCAGAAACUGCUAGCACUGGAGCAGAAACCAAAGCUUGCUUAAGAGUAGUGAAAGCAUUUUGAGCUGUAUCAGACCAAACAAAAGCCCCCUUUUUUAGUAAAUCAGUUAGAGGUUUACUGACGAGAGAAUAAUGCAUAACAAACUUCCUGUAUAUCCAGCCAACCCUAAAAAACUUCUCAAUUCCUUCACUGAUGUUGGAACAGGCCAACUCUCCACAGCAGCUAUCUUAUUGGGAUCAGUUUCUACCCCUACUGCAGAAAUGUAGUGACCAAGGUAUUCAACCUUGUCAAUAGCAAAACAACACUUACUAGCUUUGGCAAACAUCUUAUUACACCUCAUUAACUCAAACACUUGAGCCAAAUGAGACCAAUGCUGCUCUUUGGAUCUACUGUAAACCAAUAUAUCAUCAAAAAAGACUAACACACAUUUUCUGAGUAAAGGCUUAAAAACACCAUACAUCCAACUCUGAAAUGAGGCAGGUGCAUUGGUUAGACCAAAUGGCAUAACCAAGAACUCAAAGUGACCUGAAUGUAGAGCUGUCAAAAAUCGACCCGACCCGAAAACCGACCUGAACCCGACCCGAAAAUACUGGGUCCUGAACAAGAUUUUGUGACCCGUAACCCGAUUUUAUCCGAACCCGAGCAACCCGAAAAUGAAUGGGUCAAAACCCGACCGAACCCGUUUUGGACCCGACCGAUUGAAAAUCAUUGUAUUUAUAGUAAUAAAUGAGAUUAUGAGAAAAUGUAAGCAUAAUAGACACGUUGUUUUUACUAUUUGUGUGUAAUAUGAUUUUAAUUUGAAUUAUACGCCAUUUUAUGGUUGAAUUUGACUAAAUAUAAACUUUCGUAGGAAAAUUUGUUAAUUUGUCCCAAUAUUUUGUAUAUUUAUAACCUAAAUUAAUGAAAAUAUAAUGCGCGUUUUAAAAUCUCUCAACCCGUUGGGUCAACCCGAACGCGAAAGUUCUGGGUCUUGAACAAGCAUUUGCAAACCCGAACCCGAAAGUGACCGACCCGAUUCAACCCGAACCCGAAAGUAAUUCUUUACAACCCGACCCGACCGACCCGUUUGACAGGUCUACCUGAAUGUGUUUUAAAAGCAGUUUUAUAAACAUCACUCUCUUGAACCCUUAUCUGACCAGCCCUCAAGUCAAGUUUAGUAAACACUGAAGCACCUGCUAAUUCAUCAAUCAACUCAUCUAUAACAGGUAUAGGGAACUUAUUCUUAAUGGUUCUGUUGUUUAAUUCUCUAUAAUCUACACAUAAUCUCCAGGUACCAUCUUUCUUUCCCACCAAAACUAUAGGAGAUGCAAAUGGGCUUGAACUGUUCUGUAUGACCCCCCUUUCCAGCAUAUCUUGAACUAAUUGUUCAAUCACAUCUCUCUGUUUUAAUGGAUAUCUGUAAGGCCUUAUGUUUACUGGCCUUGCAUUAGGCUCUAAUGGGAUUGUGUGAUCAAAUACCCCCCUGUGAGGUGGCAAAUCCUCAGGGUCAGCAAAAAUGUCUUUGUACUGUUCUUUCAAAGCUUUCAGUUCACUGUCCUCAUGUUGUUGAUUGGCUGAUUGUU